rnacentral:lncRNA from 1 species
UUUGAGUAAGUGAAAUGAAGCGUGAAUAACUGCCUAAUUAGUGGACAUGAAAACUGGACAGUCUCCAAAGUCAUCAGAGAUGACCACGCUUGCCAGGCAACUUACUAGACUAAGGGCACACAAUGAGCCUCACGUAAGCAUCAGGUACUACAUUUAGGAAGAGAGAUGGUGGUGACGUGCCCAUCAUGCAGGAAGCUUCUCCAAGGCUGGCGAGAGCAACUUGUCUGCUUUGAGAAAUGCAGAUCUAUCAGGAUCCAGAAUCGGACUCUGAAAAAGCUGUCAUUUCAUGUCUCUAAAACAGCCUUUGAUUUAAUGUACAAGAUGUCAAGAAGUAAAGGACAAUAAAAUAAAAACCAAAAAAGGAGAACUAUUUCAAUUAAGAAGCAUUCCUAUAUCAAUUCUUGGAAAUCACAUAAAAUAAAAGCUGUCAGAAUCA